AACGAACGCUUUCUUCCUGCCUAACACAUGCAAGUCGAACGAGACCUUCGGGUCUAGUGGCGCACGGGUGCGUAACGCGUGGGAAUCUGCCCUUCGGUUGGGAAUAACUGAGAGAAAUUUCAGCUAAUACCUUAUAAUGUCUUCGGACCAAAGAUUUAUCGCCGAGGGAUGAGCCCGCGUAGGAUUAGGUAGUUGGUGGGGUAAUGGCCUACCAAGCCGACGAUCCUUAGCUGGUCUGAGAGGAUGAUCAGCCACACUGGGACUGAGACACGGCCCAGACUCCUACGGGAGGCAGCAGUGGGGAAUAUUGGACAAUGGGCGAAAGCCUGAUCCAGCAAUGCCGCGUGAGUGAUGAAGGCCUUAGGGUUGUAAAGCUCUUUUACCCGGGAUGAUAAUGACAGUACCGGGAGAAUAAGCUCCGGCUAACUCCGUG
rnacentral:rRNA from 1 species